GAUUUUUGAUCCUGGCUCAGAACGAACGCUGGCGGCAGGCUUUAACACAUGCAAGUCGAACGCCCCGCAAGGGGAGUGGCAGACGGGUGAGUAACACGUGGGAACAUGCCCUUUCGGUUCGGAAUAACUCAGGGAAACUUGUGCUAAUACCGGAUACGUCCGCGAGGAGAGAGAUUUAUCGCCGAAGGAUUGGCCCGCGUCUGAUUAGCUAGUUGGUGAGGUAAUGGCUCACCAAGGCGACGAUCAGUAGCUGGUCUGAGAGGAUGAUCAGCCACACUGGGACUGGGACACGGCCCAGACUCCUACGGGAGGCAGCAGUGGGGAAUAUUGGACAAUGGGCGAAAGCCUGAUCCAGCCAUGCCGCGUGAGUGAUGAAGGCCUUAGGGUUGUAAAGCUCUUUUGCCUGGGAAGAUAAUGACGGUACCAGGAGAAUAAGCCCCGGCAAACUUCGUGCCAGCAGCCGCGGUAAUACGAAGGGGGCUAGCGUUGUUCGGAUUUACUGGGCGUAAAGCGCACGUAGGCGGAUUCUUAAGUCAGGGGUGAAAUCCCGAGGCUCAACCUCGGAACUGCCUUUGAUACUGGGGAUCUUGAGUUCGGGAGAGGUGAGUGGAACUGCGAGUGUAGAGGUGAAAUUCGUAGAUAUUCGCAAGAACACCAGUGGCGAAGGCGGCUCACUGGCCCGAUACUGACGCUGAGGUGCAAAAGCGUGGGGAGCAAACAGGAUUAGAUACCCUGGUAGUCCACGCCGUAAACUAUGGAUGCUAGCCGUUAGGCAGCUUGCUGCUUAGUGGCGCAGCUAACGCUUAAGCUCCCGC
rnacentral:rRNA from 1 species